ACGACCAUACCAUGCUGAAUAUACCCGUUCUCGUUAGAUCACCGAAGUCAGUACUUGGGUGGGUGACCACCUGGGAACACCGCAUGCCGUU